UACGGGGGGUGCAAGCGUUAUCCGGAUUCACUGGGUUUCAAGGGUGCGUAGGCGGGCAGGUAAGUCAUUGGUGAAAUCUCCUAGCUUAACUCGGAAACUGCCGUUGAUACUAUUUGUCUUGAAUACUGUGGAGGUAAGCGGAAUAUGUCAUGUAGCGGUGAAAUGCUUAGAUAUGACAUAGAACAACAAUUGCGAAGGCAGCUUACUACACAGCGAUUGACGCUGAGGCACGAAAGCGUGGGGAUCAAACAGG
rnacentral:rRNA from 1 species